rnacentral:ribozyme from 1 species
AGAAUGAGAGAAAGAGUGAGAGCAGAAAAAAUACUCUAAUUGAUGUCUGUGCUAAUCAUUGGGUCUGCUUGUUUUUUCUGUCUUUUAUCUUUUUUCCUCGUUUUUUUUU